rnacentral:rRNA from 1 species
CCUACGGGAGGCAGCAGUGGGGAAUAUUGGACAAUGGGGGGAACCCUGAUCCAGCGACGCCGCGUGAGUGAAGAAGUAUUUCGGUAUCUUAAGCCCUAUCAGCAGGGAAGAAAGAAAUGACGGUACCUGACUAAGAAGCCUCGGCUAACUACGUGCCAGCAGCCGCGGUAAUACGUAGGGGGCAAGCGUUAUCCGGAUUUACUGGGUGUAAAGGUAGCGUAGACGGUUAUGCAAGUCUGAAGUGAAAGCCCAGGGCUCAACCAUGGGACUGCUGUGGAAACUGUAAAACUGGAGUGCAGGAGAGGUAAGCGGAAUUCCUAGUGUAGCGGUGAAAUGCGUAGAUAUUAGGAGGAACACCAGUGGCGAAGGCGGCUUACUGGACUGUAACUGACGUUGAGGCUCGAAGGCGUGGGGAGCGAACAGGAUUAGAUACCCGGGUAGUC